rnacentral:lncRNA from 1 species
AAAGAAACAAUGCAAGUCCGUGUUAAAAGAAAAACAAAAAACAAAAAAAUUUAUUUGGGAAUUGACAAGGGACGCCCUCACACACGUACAAACACAACAAAAGUGCUCUAGUUCCCUCUAGAAAAUUUGGUCCCCGAAAGACAUUACUCAACCACCAGGUCACGGGAUUUCGGGCCAGCCGGCUGGGGCCACAAGCCCGUGUGGGCCGGCCAUGACGAGUUUCACAUUUCUCCUUCCGAAGGUGGAAGAAACAAGACAUUGGAAAAACAAAAAUCAGGGAUAGGAGUGUCAUCUGGGCGGUGUGUACCAGCCAGGCAGAGAUCUCUUCUGGCAUCCGGGGCAGAAUCGGAAGAUCCGGGGAAAUUUGUUUUGAGUUCAACUUUUAAAUAGAAAAGAAAUUCCUAAUUUGUAGUGGAAACCUUAUUUUAGCUAGUUAUUUUCUCCUCCCUCUGAACACAGCCUAAUGAAGUCACCACGGGAAUUCUUACACAAAUUUCCCAGCAGGGUCGAUGAAGAAAACCAAAACUUUUGAUUUUGUUGUUUGGUUUUAGCAAACUCCAAGGCCAUUACAUUUCUCCUCCCCACCCCCCCAUGAAUGUUUUAUUCUCUCCCUCUUUCUUUUUUUCUUUAAAAAGUAUUUUUUAAUAUUUUCAAAAGCCUCACCAAUCUUUUUCAUAAAGACCUGGCCUGGAGGUGCCCUAUGCGGUGCUCUGCGGAGCGGAGGCACCACGGCCUCACAAGGAGCGGGGGAUGAGAACUCGGUUGCAGGCCGCGGAACGAGGCUGUCCCUGCUCCAGCCUGGGGCUCAACCCCCGCCCCGCCCAGUGGGCCCCUCUGCAAGCGGCUUCUGAUCAGUUCCAGGAGGGAUCGCAGAGCGACCAGACACGUUCUUUCCAUUCUCCGGUAGUGUGGGUCCCUCUUCCCCCAGCAGCCUAGCGCUUCUAGUCGCAGACAGUCGGGGUGGGGAAUUAAAAAUAAAAUCGAGCUUGAGUCCACCGACCUGGAAGAGAGGGCCAAGAGGUAAGCUGCGUCUCAGACACUUCGACCGCACCUCGGCCGGGGACUCACUCCCUGCGGUGAGGAGAGGAGGCCCGCGGAAAGCACGGAGUGGGCGGCCUCCGGCCAGCAGCACGGGAAAGCAGAGGCCGCGGCGGGGAAGAGCACCGGAGGAGCAGCGGAGGCGACAAAGCGGAGUCGCAGGAGCGGGGCGGACCGAGGAAGGGCAGACCGCUCGAGGGCUCUGCAUCCAGAAGCUGUCCCGGAGUGCGCGCUGUCAGGCUGGCUGCUGCGGCUGCGACCCGAGCUCGGCUCCUCCACUCCCGGGAUAGGGGUGGGGGACCGCUCCCGCGCGCGUUGGCACUCAGAGAUCCAGACGCGAGUGCAGCGCGCCCGUCUUGCUGUCGUGGUCCCAGUAUGAGCAAUGCAUCAUGGCGAGCUCGGGUUGCCGGGCGCAGGCGAACUGCAGGCCGGGCGCGCUCGUGGGCGCGGGUGCCGGGGGCGCGGCGGUGGCCGGGCUGGCGGGACUGAGCUGACCCGGGGGAGGCGCGGCAGCCCCGUGGUGUGGCGGGGCUGGCGGGGGCGCAGCGGCCGCGUGCAGAUGAUGUGCGUGAGGGUGCGGGUGAGGGUGCGGCGGCGGUGGCGGCGGCGGUGGUGCGGCAGGAGGGCCCCCCAGGCCGUUGUAGGAGUUCACGACGCCCGGAGGCAGCGCCAUGCUCUGCACGCGCGAGUACGGCCCGUAGGAGGCGGCGGGGCCCGCCAGCCCCUUGACCACCGCGGCUGCACCGGGGCUGCCCGGGCCGGCGGCUGCAGCGGCUGCAGCAGCGGCCGCCGCAGCCGCCGCCAUCUGGCAGGAGGCGUAGGGCAUGGGCGAGGGAGGCUGCGGCAGGGGCCAGGAGUUGUUGAGGAACCCCGAUUGCAGGUACUUGGGUGGCGCCAGGUAGCCAUAGCCAUCGGCCCCAGCUCCGGGCACGCCGCAGCCACCCGCCGCUCCUCCGCUCCCGAAGAGCCCCUUGCCGGGCUGGAAGUGAGCGGGCGGCGGCCGGAAGGGCCGCUUCAUGCGGCGGCGGCGCCGGUAGUUGCCCUUCUCGAACAUGUCCUCGCAGGCCGGGUCGAGCGUCCAGUAGUUGCCCUUGCGCUCGCCGCCGCCCUCGCGCGGCACCUUGAUGAAGCACUCGUUGAGGCUGAGGUUGUGGCGGAUGCUAUUCUGCCAGCCCUUCUUGUUCUUCUCGUAGAACGGGAACUUGGCUAUGAUGUACUGGUAGAUGCCGGACAGAGUGAGCCUCUUCUCGGCGCUCUCGCGGAUCGCCAUGGCGAUGAGCGCCACGUACGAGUACGGGGGCUUCUGCGCGGGGUCUGGUUUCUCCGGUGUUGUCCCGCCUCCCUUGCCGGGACUCGGCGGCGACGCCUCGGCCUCUUUGACUGCGCGUCCGCUCUCCGGAGCCAGCAGGGUCCCCGCCGUGUCUUCGGGCUCGGGGUAGCUGGCCAUCAUGACAAAAGCCGGCUCUCCGCGGCCGGGCAGCCCGGAGGCUGUGCUCUCCUGGUGCAGGCUCGCCUUGCAGGCGGGCGCAGGAGUGUGCGCUCGGCGCAGAGCCUCUAACUUCUGCAGGCUGCGGGGACCGGAGGCCUCGCGCGGCUCUCACUCUCUUCUCUUUUCCCCCCGGGGAGCGGUCUGCGGGAGUGGAAGUCAGCCUCUGGCCAUCGGGAGUCUGCCCAACAGCGAGGGGCUCCGGCCCCGCCGCCCCUCCCCGCCCAGGCCAGUCCCCGCCUCGAACUUGGACCGGCCUUCCCGAGCCUCCGGAGCCUCCCGGGCCCAGCCAACAGCCUGCCUCACGCUCUUACGAGUCUUGAAAAUCUGCGGGUGUUUGCUUCGCCGAAAAGCCCUGGUUGGGGCUCGCUGCGCCCUGCCAGUGCCCCGGGAAUGCUGACCCCAGCGAGGAGAGGUGAUCCAAGCCUCUGGGCAGCUUUCAGAUCAAGUGGUAUCCCUUGUACUCUGGCUUGGACACAGACGAGGAUGUUGCUGAGGGGCUUUGGGGACUGUUGCGUGCACAAGUGUCACGCGUGGAAGGCACGGGGCAAAAAUCUGUUCUUAAAGACACACGUGAUACUGCGCAAGUGUGCUGUUCAGAAACCCAGCCGUUACCUGCAUCUUCUCCUUCCAGCAUAGAUAAUAGCCGAAGUCUGGUGGGGAUCCAGUUACAUCUCCGAAAAUAGAAAACGGACUUAGAGGAAUUCCUUCCGUGCCAGCACAACAUCAGGUGUGCCCUGUCACUCAGCCUUAACACAGGUUUGCAGUCUUGGAAGUGUGAGAGAGGCUGAGGAAGAGUGAUCAGACACGUUGUGAAGGAUAAUGGUCUGAAUGAAUGAUGUGUGCCAGUCACACAUCUAGGUGGCUAUCCCAGUGCCUGUUUCUACCUCUUUCUUUCAGGUUGCUUGGACUUUAAGAGUUCUCCAGAAUGCCACGAGCCCACACUGGCCAGUGGCUCCAGCGGUCCGAAGACCAUUUAUCUACAGUGUGUGCUUGUGCUUCCCACUUUGAGAUGAAGGGAAAGG